rnacentral:lncRNA from 1 species
GGAAGUGGGAGUGUGUAGGAGUUUCAAAAGGCAUCAGUAACCGAACAGCCUGUCUAGAUUGUCUUGCAGUUUGAAUGCAUAUGUGCUCUCCUGAGAUUUGGACAGAAGUGGGAGUAAUCUGAGAUGCAUGCUAAAAGAUUGACACUUCUAAGUGCACAGACAGCUGCAUCUUUUUCCGUGAGAUCUUUUUAUCAGCAUCUGCUCUCUAUCACAGCAGCUACCUAAUGGUGGGUUAUUCCAAGAUCCAGAGCUCAUUAUUCCAGAGUCUUUUGAGUGAUUAUCAAUGAGAUCAACCCUAAUCGCUGGAUACAAAAGUUUGAAUGUAGUGAGAGAGUCCUGCUUGGAAAUUGCUGAAAGAAAACAGUUCAGAGAACAACCACAAUCUUGGGUCCGUUUGUUCAGGUUUCCCUCCUUACCUGGAUUACUUGUGCACUUCUCAGAACUGGUUUGGGCUCCUCUGACAGUGGCUGAUUUUGUCUGGUCAGUUCUCCUAAUACCAGCUUGAUUGCUCCCGGCAGGCAUUGGAUAGAGGUAUAGAACCCCUAGGGAACAGUUAGGGGAAGGAUCUGAAGAGCUGAAGCAGAUAUCAACUCCAUAGGAAGACGAACAGUGUCAACUAACCUGGACCCCUGGGAGCUCCCAGAGACUAAGCCACCAACCAAGAGCACACAGAGGCUGGGCUAAGGCCUCAGACACAUAUGUAGAGGAGGACUGCCUUGUCUGGGACAAAGAGGACCGUGCCUAAUCUUGUAGAGAGCUGAUGUCUCAGAGAAGGAGGAUGACUGGGGGAAGGGCGGGUCACCCUCUCAGAGAUGAGAAUGUAAAGUGGAUUAAAAAAAAAACCUCAUAAAGC